UAAAACCUUCCUGUUUGCUUUGGAAACGUAUGCAAUUGGGUUUAUUCGCUUGUUCAGAACAAAAGGAGGUGAUGAAAUCGGGACCCUUUUGGAAAGACUUGAUCAGCAGACUACAGACAUAACUGAACACCGUAGAUCAGUUGCAUUGAAAGGCCUUCCACGUUACCUGAGAGAGCACACACCACUAUUGAAGACUUGUUUGGUAACUAAGUCAAAGGAAUUGGACACUCAAGGUGUGAAAAUCAUGAUGAUUGAAAUGGUCAGAGAUGAAAA